rnacentral:rRNA from 1 species
GUCGAACGCUGGCGGCGUGCUUAACACAUGCAAGUCGAACUAAGUGGCGAACGGGUGAGUAAUACGCUGGUAACCUGCCCUCCUUUUUGGGAUAAUCCUUGGAAACGGGGUCUAAUACCCAAUAAAGGGGGUUGGGCUUGCGGCCUAUCAGCUUGUUGGUGGGGUGAUGGCCUACCAAGGCGGUGAAGGGUAGACGGCGUGAGAGGGUGACUGGCCACGUUGGCAAUGCACAACGGCCAAGGGACGUACGGGGGGUAGCAGUUGGGGAUAGUGCAGAAGGGGCGAAAGACGGAUGCAGCGGCGGCGCGUGGGGGAUGAAGGUUUUCGGGUUGUGAAGGUUUUUCGGUAUCGAAGGGGUAGGUGGCGAAGACGCGCCGGCUAACUACGUGCCAGCAGCCGCGGUAAUUC